GUAGGUGAACCUGCGGAAGGAUCAUUAUCGUACAAAAUGUGUGAGGCAUGCAAGGGCUGUCGCUGGCUUUUAACACAAAAGCCGUGCACGCCAGAGCGUGUCCUCUCACAUAAAAUCCAUCUCACCCUUUGUGCACCACCGCGUGGGCACCCUUCGGGAUCAAACCGAUCCGGGAGGGGGCUUGCGUUUUCACACAAACCCCUUUUUAAAAAGUGUAGAAUGACCCCAUUUUUGCGAUAACACGCAAUCAAUACAACUUUCAACAACGGAUCUCUUGGCUCUC
rnacentral:misc_RNA from 1 species